UAUCUGUAAUUUCAAAAUGAUAAUGGCCCAAAAGUGAGGGCUCUAGAAGAACAGACAGGAAAAUAUACAGAGCAGGACGAAAAGGGGUGUGUCUUCCUGUGCAUCUUGACACAGCUAGGCUUUGGCGGCAGGCCUCCACAAGUUGAAAUGAUGUUAAUCCAAAUAACAUUAGUGACCAUAUCAAGAACACUAAUGCACCAUGAAUACCC